UGAACCAGCUUAUGAAAUGAGGGAGACUGACCCAGACUGGGCACCACCCCUACAUCUGGGACACACAUCUGUUACACCGACAAACACUGCACGCUCUGCAAGACGAACGUGAGCAGCUACGGAAAGAGACACUGCAAGCACCAGAGAUGGGGGUCCAGCAGGAUGCAAACAUUGAAGAGCUGCAGACCAAGGAGGGACCAUCUGAGCCUGGUGAAAUAAACAGUCACCAACAGAAUGAGGAAGGGACACCUGACGCUGGAGAAGAAAGUGGUCAGCUACAGACUGAAGAGGGGACACAUGAAGCUGGAGAAAAAGUGUACAUCAGAAGCGAUGACCGGCCACCAUGCUUUGCUGCCUAAACUGCGCCUGAGAAGUACAUGUACAAACAAGCUAGGAAAAACUGCCAUGCCGUCACCGCAGCUCCAACAGACCAGCAGAUCCUUGGCCAGCUCACGGUGACCUUUGGGAAAUACAAAGGCAAGACCUUCUGUGGCUUAUGGAGGAAGAUGUCUGCUAUGUCAAGUAUCUCCUCGAUAGCCACGUGAAGGAGAGGCGACGACAGAUGGGAAGGUGCGACACCAAAACUGGGGAGUGGUGGCUGAAGGAGCAGCUUCUACGCUACGUGGAUAUGUUCCCUCCGGUGUCAUGCCACUUGGAGCAGAACAUCGACCGGGCCAUCUGCGGGCAUGGCAGCUUCCGGUCCUUCACGUUCGAGGAGAUGUGGCAGUUUUAUGACCUCUCCAAGUUCUUCCGUAACGAUCUCGCCAAAAGCGCAGAAGAAUGGAAGAUGGUCCAGGAAGCCUUCUGCUUCGUGCGUCAGUGGCUACUGAUGACAGAGUAGGACAUCAAUGUCACGUUAAGCGAUUUCGACUGUACAUCCUCACAAAGGAGGAGGAGCAAGCUAAAGGCAAAGUUGCACCAGCUACGCCCCUCACGUCAGCUUGUGCAUCAGCAUUAGCAGCAUUAUCAACAUGACCUGCUGUAGCAAAUACACCAUCUUCAGCAGCAGUAGCAGCAGCACAACAACAAGCACCACCACCACAAGGUGAUGAUGAAGACUGGCAAUGUAAAAUACU